UGAUUGACAUGUGAUUACAAUUCGAUUGAUUUUACUUUUGUGGUGGGUUUUCUUGUCUGGAUCGGAUAGACAUUUCACCAUCACCAUAAUAAUCUGAAAUAUUUGGGGAUUUUCUCUCAAUGUGAAUACAAUAAUGGCUGAUAUUGAGAUUUCGUUAUAUUUGUAAACUAGGUUAAGGUUGGAUCAUCGACUGGGACAGAAGAAAGACCAAAAUGUUUGUAUUACCAUUUUGAUUGAUCCACAUAAAUUGAUGAGACUCCUACUGUGAUUUUUGUUCCCCGAAUUUUACUACUCUUCUACAUUGGAGCAGUAUGCUUCUUGAGGUUGUAAUGGCAUUAGCUAAAGGAAACAUGAAAAUAGUUGGCUUAAGAAUAUUUGGUUUGAUUGGAAAAAUCACAUUCUUUUGCUGAUUGAAGAUUCAUUGCGGCUAGUAGUUAAUUGGGGAUACAGAGUAUUAGUAAGAUUACUAUAUAUUAUAAAUCCUCGAAAAUCAUCUCUAUUUCUUUGUGAUGUAGUAGGGGUAAGGUCUAUGUACACUCUAGCCAAUCUAGACCUCACUUGUGGGAUUACACUGGGUGUUGGUGAAUUGCUUGCAUUUUGGGAAAAUUUACUUUCUACAUCUCAUGGAAGCUGUAUUUGAAGAGGAGUAUGCUGCCUUUGAGAAUAAAGUGAAAUGAAGCGUCUAUAUUGGCGAUCUUUCACCUUUUGUUAUGGAAUCUGUUAUCAAAGUUGCACUUGAUCACUUUGGAAAUGUGAUUCAGGUCACGUUAAUCCGAACCUACCUUGGACUGAAAGGGAUGGGACGAGCUGCUUUAGCUGUAAUGCAGAAUGUAGAUGAGGCAAGAACAAUCAUAUAUGAGAUAUGAAAUUCUCCUUUCAUGAUCUCGGGCAUGCCAAGACCUGUUAGCGUUCAUCCUGCUGUAAUUGAGAUGUUUGAUAAUCACCCAAAGAAACAUGAUAGGACGAUAAUGUGCUACUGGUGAAAUCCAAUGAUCCUGAUUUUGAAGUGGCCACGAAGAUGAAACGUACAGUUAGGAACCAUGCAAAAGAAGCCAAUUUUUCGCUCAAACCUCAAUUGGAGGAGGAAGAACAACUAGCCGAAGAGCAGUCAGAGUCCUUGAACGCAAUCUACAAUAAGUAUGAACUCGUACAACAUGUGUUUAAC